UUUCAAAUUGAGAGUUUGAUCCUGGCUCAGGAUGAACGCUGGCGGCGUGCCUAAUACAUGCAAGUCGAACGCACAGCGAAAGGUGCUUGCACCUUUC
rnacentral:rRNA from 1 species